rnacentral:rRNA from 1 species
UAGAGUUUGAUCCUGGCUCAGGACGAACGCUGGCGGCGUGCCUAAUACAUGCAAGUCGAGCGGACAGAUGGGAGCUUGCUCCCUGAUGUUAGCGGCGGACGGGUGAGUAACACGUGGGUAACCUGCCUGUAAGACUGGGAUAACUCCGGGAAACCGGGGCUAAUACCGGAUGCUUGUUUGAACCGCAUGGUUCAGACAUAAAAGGUGGCUUCGGCUAUCACUUACAGAUGGACCCGCGGCGCAUUAGCUAGUUGGUGAGGUAACGGCUCACCAAGGCGACGAUGCGUAGCCGACCUGAGAGGGUGAUCGGCCACACUGGGACUGAGACACGGCCCAGACUCCUACGGGAGGCAGCAGUAGGGAAUCUUCCGCAAUGGACGAAAGUCUGACGGAGCAACGCCGCGUGAGUGAUGAAGGUUUUCGGAUCGUAAAGCUCUGUUGUUAGGGAAGAACAAGUGCCGUUCAAAUAGGGCGGCACCUUGACGGUACCUAACCAGAAAGCCACGGCUAACUACGUGCCAGCAGCCGCGGUAAUACGUAGGUGGCAAGCGUUGUCCGGAAUUAUUGGGCGUAAAGGGCUCGCAGGCGGUUUCUUAAGUCUGAUGUGAAAGCCCCCGGCUCAACCGGGGAGGGUCAUUGGAAACUGGGGAACUUGAGUGCAGAAGAGGAGAGUGGAAUUCCACGUGUAGCGGUGAAAUGCGUAGAGAUGUGGAGGAACACCAGUGGCGAAGGCGACUCUCUGGUCUGUAACUGACGCUGAGGAGCGAAAGCGUGGGGAGCGAACAGGAUUAGAUACCCUGGUAGUCCACGCCGUAAACGAUGAGUGCUAAGUGUUAGGGGGUUUCCGCCCCUUAGUGCUGCAGCUAACGCAUUAAGCACUCCGCCUGGGGAGUACGGUCGCAAGACUGAAACUCAAAGGAAUUGACGGGGGC